rnacentral:rRNA from 1 species
GACUACUGGGUGCUGCAGUGGGGAAUAUUGGACAAUGGGCGAAAGCCUGAUCCAGCCAUGCCGCGUGUGUGAAGAAGGCCUUCGGGUUGUAAAGCACUUUCAGUGGGGAAGAAAGCCUUGGGGCUAAUACCCUCGAGGAAGGACAUCACCCACAGAAGAAGCACCGGCUAACUCCGUGCCAGCAGCCGCGGUAAUACGGAGGGUGCGAGCGUUAAUCGGAAUUACUGGGCGUAAAGCGCGCGUAGGCGGUCUGAUAAGCCGGUUGUGAAAGCCCCGGGCUCAACCUGGGAACGGCAUCCGGAACUGUCAGGCUAGAGUGCAGGAGAGGAAGGUAGAAUUCCCGGUGUAGCGGUGAAAUGCGUAGAGAUCGGGAGGAAUACCAGUGGCGAAGGCGGCCUUCUGGACUGACACUGACGCUGAGGUGCGAAAGCGUGGGUAGCAAACAGGAUUAGAUACCCGUGUAGUC